UGGCCGGAAGAAAGGGAGUUUGGGAGCUACGCUGUAAAAGCUGGUGGUGCAGUGGUCGGUGUGGUUGGUUUGUUCGUCUUUUUCUGCUGUAGCCUGGUAAAGAACAGCAAAUUGGGUCCGGAAGCCUAAAGGAAACGAGGACAAGCGCUAGGAGUUCAAGACCAGCCUGUGAUACAUGAGACUGCGUCUGAGAACAAAGGAGCCAGUGAGGUGGUUCAGCAGGUGAGAAUGCUUGCUGCCCAGCCCAACAACUUGACUUCCGUCCCUGAAACAUCCCUCAUGGAUGAGGAGAAUUAACUCUCCCAAGCUGUCCUAUGACCUCCACAUACAUGCCCCCCACAACACAUAAAAUAAAUGUUUAAAGAAACCAGACAAAAACUAAAAUACCCAAACAAAGUUAAUUUGAAAUGUGAUGUGCUAUUGGAUGGCCACUUCUGAUGGAGAAAACCACCGAAAAGUGGUUACUAAAUGCCAGAGGCUACAAGGAAAGAUUGUGUUUUACCAAAUAUCUGGAAAAAGAUUUUGAGUGUUUUGUCAAAAAGAUGUUUCAAGCCAGGUGUGCUGGUAUAUGCUUUUAAUACCAGUGCUCGGGAGAGGAGGCAGAAGCAAAGUUAAAGCAGUCCUGGUUUUGAGACAGACCUUGUGGCAAAAGAAAAAAAACAAAAGGAUGUUUCAGAUAGUAACCUUUUUUCCCAGUCAAGAAAAAAUGUUUUUGAAAAACAAAAAAAAAAAAGAAAAAAAACAUUAUUUGAUGCCUAUAAAUUAGCUAUAUUUUGAAAGGAAAACAGAUACUACUGUUGUCUAGCAAGCAUUACAAGAUGCUAACCUAUACCCCUUUCUUUCUCUAGGUGGCCCCUUGUGUUUAAAAAAAAUAAUUUUUUUUAUUAUAUUCGUGUGUAUAGGUGUUUUCCCUGCAUGUCCGUCUGUGUACCCACAACAGGCCAGAUGAGGGCAUGAGAUAUCCUAGGGCUGGAGUUACCAUGUGGAUGCUGGGAACUGAACCUGGGUCCUCUAGAAGAGCAGCCAGUGCCCACUUCUUAACCACUGAUCCAUCCCUUCAUCUCCAGGUCUCUCCUGUGCUCACAGUGGACCUAGACUUUCUAGAUUCAGCUGAUGGACAAUGUUCAUAUCCUAAAUUGAUGAUGUAAAAAUAUAUAAAAAAUCACAUUCCACCCUACAAAAACAAGAAAGGAAAAAUUCCCCUCCUGUAGUUCAUUAUCAAUACUGAGUUGAGCUGCAACAUAAAUCAAAAAGUAUAUGGCCAGAAUUAACACUGAGUAAAUAAAUUAUAAUAAAGUUAUAUUAUUUAUUUAUCUAUAAAGAAAUAUAUAUAUAAAAACAAAUGUGUACAAUGUAUGGAAUAUAGUAAAGAGUAAAAUAUAAAUAUGCAAAAUAUUUUAAACACUACUGUGACUGUGGUCUUUCAAGAGUUGUAAAUUUUAAAGUAAACAAAGAAACAAGCAUAACACCUUAAAAGUUUUAGUUAUACUAUUUUUAUUCCAAAGAAUAAAUGCUGAACAAACUCUCCAAAUCACAAAAUUUGAAAGAAGCCUUUGAUCUUCUGCAUGGGCUGAGGUAGGCGUCUGCACAGCCGUGGGGCUCGGGAGCAGUCUGCUGCCCUCUAGAACACCGAGGACGUAGGUGCUGAGCCCUGCUAGUGAGCUGUUAACGGAAGUUUCCCUUCUCGUUCCCCAGAGAGCUGCUCAAAUUGUUUGUUCUUGGGCUUGCACCAUCUCUUUCGUGACAGUUACUAUGUUUUGUUUAAAAAAUCAAAUUGUUGCUUUACAUGACCUCUGAGUACAGAAGUAUUACUGUGAUGUUUAAAACACUGAUUGAUUGUACUUGCUUAAAUACUUUCUCAAAUUGAUUUUGCAUUUCUCUCUAAUGAUCAGUAAAGAUGUAAGAUUCUGAGGUAUCAGUAUGUUCCCUUUUGGUUUAGUAAGACUUCAGUCACACAGUGGUUCUGUACAUUACAAACUUUUGUACAAUACGCCUCUUCCCAGUAUUCGCGGUAGCUCCAGAUAUUACAGAACUGACAUCUGAGGCAGAACACCAGCACAUAAAAUAAAAUCGUUUCAGGAAAUCACAGUCUGUAGUCCACACUGAAUUUUGAAGGGUGGAAAUGUUCUUCCAGUCUGGUGACAAGCUCCUACUACCCAACAGCUCUCCACAUCAGUGAUGAGUAGCCAUGUCUUUAUGGUGCAUACCACUCUGACUUGAUUUGGAAGUAUGCACUCAAGAUUGAUGAAGCCUUUUAUGAAUCACCCUUCUAGAGCUUUCUGCUCAGGAGCACCAGAACUGUUCCAGUGAAGGAAUAAUGUAUUAUGAAAACCUGACUCCCAGAGAAUUCCAGUUUCCCUCCUGCUGCUUCUCAGACUAGCUUUCAUGUCUACCUAAAUAUCACUAGUUCCAUUAUAUGUUAGGAAAUACAACAAAAAUUUUUCAUCCACGGGAUGAAGUUUCAUCUCUGAAACAGGAAGCUGACAAUACCCUACCUUGCUUAUGAAAUUUCCUAAGGAUAAGAGGAAAAAUUAUGAGAAAUUGCACUGAUCAUGUUAUAUCUAAGUGCUGUUUUUCGGUAUUCUGUUUUUAAUGGCAGACAACAGCUCUGUUAAGUCUAAACUAGGAAAAAAAAUGACAUUUCAUUCAGAAUCUCAUUGUUUGGCAGCUAAUCUGAUUAAUUUGGGAAUGUGACAGAUUUUAGUUCUAUGUCCUGUCCCUAACUAAGACAACAAUGGUAAUUUCCGAUGACAAUGGCUCUCUGGGCAUCAUCUCACACGCCCCUGUCCAGCUGCUCACCUGUAAGCUGUGCCAGCUGGAGUGAGGCUCCCACGCUUAUGGUACUUGUUCUUCUCAGAGAACCACGGCCUUGCAUUCUGUGCCACAGCCAUGAAGAAACAAGUGAACCUCACUGCACAACAUCUCAUACACAUUUCCUCAUUCUGCACAAGACAUGAUGUAUCUGAGCCAAAUAUUGCUACCUACAAGAUAGUAUAUGCAUUUUCAGGGCAACAGACAACUAACUAAUCAAAUGCCUUCAUUUUGCUGCAAGAGUUCACUCGUACUUUGCAAAAUAUAUACACUGUUCAUAGUACCUUCCUGAAGCCCUGACUAACAUCAAUAGAAGUGAAGAUCCUGUUUCCUCAAAAAAUGUGUCAAAAUACUAUGUGUUGCAAUAUUACUUAUGUUCCUAAAACAAAAUAAUUUCCCUUUACAAGCUGCUUUUAUGUUUUCUUUCUAAUUGCAUUUUGACUUUGUGUGUGUGCGCGCACACAUGGGCCACAGGGCAUAUGUGAAGGUCAGAAGACAACUUGAAGACUCUGUUCUCUUUCCACUAUUUGAGACCCAGGGUUCAAACUUAGGUUGUCAGGCUUGGCAGCAAGCACCUUUACCUACUAUCCUGCUUUUGGUUUGAGCAAGACCUCACUCUGAAGCUCAAGCUGACCUGGAACUCAUUAUAUGGCCUAGGCAGACCUUGAACUUGUGGCAAUCUCCUACCUCAGCUUCCUGAAUGCAGAAAUUACAGAUAUAAAGCUACCACAACUGGCUACAAGGUACUAUAGUAUUUGUUUCAGUAAAAAAAUCAAACUCUUGGUUAAAUGUCAUAACUGAAUGUCAAAAGUGCCUCCAGGAGAUGUAUAUUUUCACUUUGUUAAUUCUCUUAUUGAUUAAAGUGUUCCAUAGACUGAAAAUACAGUCAAAUAAUGAAGUUCAAGUUUCUUUCAUUUUCAGUUGAUCA